CAGCCCUAGGGCUCCAGGGUGGGUGCUGUGCCUGAUGCGAGGGAGAGACCCGUGAGGGCCAUGGAGUUUCCCGGUGGGUCCCACCUGAGCAAAGAAGACAGAGGAGGACCCACUUUCCAGGCGGCACUUUUGACACGGACCCACGGUCCACGUUGCAGCGGGAGCGGCAGGCCCUCUGGAAACGACCAGGGCAGCGAGCGAAGCUUCCGGACCGGGAGAUGCCCUCGGGGCCGAGCCAUGGGCGGCUGGUGGUGACCCUCCGCCCUGGGGCCCCCAGCGGGGCACAUCAGUCACUCACAUCCUUUGCUGACAGUCACAGACCACUCCAAGAAAACUCAUCCCCCACUCACCAGCCCCAGGAAGCCCUUCCUCCCGGUUUCACAGCAGACGUGACCCAUCAUUAAACACAAUCGCAGGACAAUUUUCUCCUGCUGGGGACGCUUGCGGACAGCAGGGGGCCGGCCAUCUGGCUCUCAUCAGCCCUCCCCGCCCCGACAUCCUCCCUCUGCUCCAGCCCUGACACACGUCCUCAUGCUGAGUUCCCGGCAGAAGGGGGACGGGAGGACAGUCGGGCUUUGUCCUCCUGCCCAGGCACGUCCUUGCCCUGGCACUGGGCAGACAGGGAGGGCCGAACCCUGCCUGCCAGGCUGGCCCUGCAGGGGACUCUUCCUCUGUGACCAGGGCAGUGUGGCCAGAGAGAGGGUUCUCUGGCCUUCGAGGUUGCCACAGGUCGCCGCAAGGGUAGGCACUCUGGAGGCCUUUUCUAGCUUGGGCUCUUGGGACAGCAAGCCCGGGGGCGAGGCCCCGACAGGCACGGAGGGGACUGUGUUAAUUCCAAGCGGUCCAGGCUGCGAGCGGGGCAGGCCCGUGGGAGCACUUUGCAGCAAAAUCUGCCCCUGCCCACCCCCGGGGAAAGGGGUCGGUGCGCGGCGCUCCCCACGGGAGCCGGCGGUUGACGGACAUGCCUCGCGCUGGCUGGCCCAAGAGGAACAGAGCCGACUCUGGUCUGAGCUGAGAGAGACAGACCCUCCGGUGCUACUGGGAUGGAGGAAAGCACCAGACGCAACUCCCAACACAGCAGAGGCAGCUGGGCAUUUGCAGCCCUGCGCGGCGAGGGGUCCGUGGGUGGGAAUGACCAACGCGAGACGCCAGGGGACAGGGAUUCUGGCUAGAGGCAGCCGAGGACUUAAGACACCGAAGGCGGGGGCCGAGGAGCCUGAGCAGACAUCAGUGGCAGCGGGGGUGGCGGUGACGGAACGGGAUUCUUCCCGAAGACUGGCUUAGGCAGACCUGGAACCUGGGCCCCAGCACCGAGAAGCAGCCUGUCCGAGACAGAGAGCGCUCAGAGGAACCCGUCCCCAGCUUGGGCAAGAAGCCUUCAGGCUUCAACCUCGUGAGGGGUUCGGAGUUUGGGGGAACAGAAGUUGGCCCUCGGGGCAGCAGACAGAGGGGUCCCUCCCGCCAGCCUGUGGCUCGGGGCGGAAUUCAGCAAAACCACAGGGACCUCGGAGGGACCAGAUUUAUCAGCCACAAGUCCUAGGGUACACGGCAUGCCCAGGGGCACACAGCAAGGUCACAGGGGAUGAGAGAGACAGAAUGUGGACCUCGGGCUCUCCCUUUGUCAGGGUCCAAAGGCAGGGUGUCUGGGUUUUGCGGGGUGGCUCACUGUUGGCUAACCUGAAACAGAAGAGGGGAAUUAGGGUUCAGGAGCGCGGAGGCCGCGUCUUCUGAAAGGGGAACUCCAGGUGGGGGGCCCAGUUGCCCAUCUGGCCGUUUUGCUCCUGGCCUGUGACCCGGCAGGCAGUGUACUCCUGCUAGAUGGACGGCUUCCAGUGGGUGCCUCGGAGUCAAAGCUCAAUGUCAAGCACUUACCCCACGCCUUCCAGGAGCCACGCCCCAUCCCCCUGCCAGGCCAGGCCCUUGUGUUGCUCGAAACUGGCUGUGGGCCACGCAAGCUUCCUGUGUCCCGGGCGUGCCCCACGGGUGCAGCCCAGCUCAGGGCCUGGGAGCUUUACCUCUGUUUAGAGCAGAGUGAGAUGCGAGGUCCUUGAACCAGCAGGAGCACCUGGGGGCCAGUUAGGGCUACAGGUUGUUAGUGGGAAGUCUGGGGGUGGGGCCCAGCCGUCCUCAUCUAAACAAGCCCCCGGGUUUCGAAUACAAUUUUGGUCUCUGUUUGGAGUAACUUUAUUGGAAGCAGCCAUUAGCUACCAGGGCCCUCCUGUGUUUCCUUUCCUUCUGGUCAUUCAAGCUCCAGGAGAACCCACCCUCAAAACCGGCCUUCCCUUCACCAAGCCCAGCAGGUGUGGCUUCACGCAAUGGUUCUCCGGUGGCCGCACAGUGGAAUCACCUGGGAAGCUUCUGGACUUAAUGGUGCCCAGCCCCACCGCCCCAGGGGUCGAGGCCAUAUGUCCAGGCUUUAAAUCUUCCCUGUGGGUCUGAGUGGGGAUCCCUGCCUGGGGAGGCUUCAGUGCCCCUCAGAGGGGAGUCUCGCUGUCCUUUACCCCAUCGUGGCCAAACAGUCACAGAGAGAACGAAUUAGAAAUCCGGGCAGAUUCGACUCGGAGACAAACGCGUCCCGGCACAAGCAGCAAGGUGCACGCCAGGACCCCUCCCGAGGGACACAGAAUCUGCCAAAGCCCUCGCAGUCGAUUGAUCUAUCGUUGACUGUCUGUCUCCCCAUCAGGGGAGACCUUGGACGUGCCCUGAAGGCGUUCCAGCAGGUGCCAGGCCAGGCCCUACGGACCGCCCCCUCUUCUGACCAUUUCUUCGGUGCCGGCUGCUCGUCCAUCACAUCGGCCAGGUGGGCAACACUCUGUGCUUGGGAGCCCGGGGGACAGGCCAGGCUUCGAGAGACCCACGGUCCCUGUAGCUCAGCAUCUACUGGAGACCAGGAAAUAUCAAAUAUUGCUUCCUUGAAAGCAACACGACCCCUAGUCUUUGGACUAUUUCUUCAAAAGGUUGAACUGCGUUACAGAAUACUCUCCUUCUCAGUGACUUAGUUUAUAAGAUCUCCUACUGGAAAACAAAUGCCUCCAAGGUGAACUUAAGUGCCCUGAGUAACCUCUGAGAGUCAGGACAAGGCUGUAAGACUCCAGGCUUUUCCCAUUAAAGCACCACGAGCCUCCCUCCUGCAUGCUCCCCUCCGUCCUGCCUUGUCCGAUUGCUCAAGUUCAACUCUGAACUUCAGCGGAGGGAGAGAGACACACAGGGCCCCAGGGGCCGGCUGGGCCACUGCUGGAAGGACUUCUCGGCUUUGUUUGCAAAAUUAAAUGUGCUUUGAGAGUAAUGAGUCAGGAAAGCGGCAUUUGAAGGAGGUCUGGAAAUGAGAUUUCCUGCCUGUGGGUUGACUCACGCCCGUCUGUCUCUAAAUCUACCCCAAGGACAUUUGUUCCAAUGUGACAGGGCUUGUGUGCAUCCCCAGGACUCCUCCGGUGUGUGUGUGGGGGGGAGAUUGUCCAGGCUUUGGGGAGGAUCCUGCGUUCUUUCCUGACUCCCCCUACCAGUCACCCUGAGCAGCUGAUUCAUCCCCCAAGGCCUGAUCCCUCAGUCUGGCCUCCGUCCCCCGAAGCUAGAAUCUCAGUGGUCCUUUGUCUUCUUGGCUAGCACAAAAGCAACUAAUAAUUCGGGGUGACCAGCUGUCCUGGUGUGCCUGGGGCCAAGGGACUGCCCAGGAUCUGGGACUUUCAGAACAAAACCCAGGGGAGUUGGGGACACCGUGGGGCUAACUGGUGGCCCUCUCAUUGCUGCCGGGGCCAAAAUGACUGCAGUAGAAGUGGACACAAGCUGUCUGUUUUCCCCAGGAACCUUCCUGGAAUCCAGAAGAAUUCCCUGUGGUUCUCAGAGAGGUGGGGAACUUUCUCAGGACCACCCAGCUUGUAAUUAGCAAGCCAGGGGCUGCACGGUGAGCAGUGAGUGGGCUCGGGGGGCUGCACAUCCUCGCCAGCGUCAGUGUGGUCAGUGCUCUGGAUCCUGGCCAUCCCGACAGAUCACAAUAAAAGAAGAAGAGGAAACAAGCGGCCUCGGUCGGUGAGGCACUGAACGGAAGCAGGGAACUUGCCCAGCAGUGGGGACAACGCGGGCCUGAACGAGGCAUCUCCCCCAGGACCCCCGCUCUCAGCACAGAGCACGGAGACCUCCCUGCACGCCCCCCACCUGCUCCGUCUGCCCGUGAGGGUCCCGGGCUGCCCCCCCCAGCCCCCUCAGGUCACAGUCACUGGGGUGCAUCCCUCCCUUUUUGUGCCAGUAACUCCAGGCGUGAUCCUGAUGCCACGAAGUCACCAGCGACACCACCGGCUGAAGUGGCCUGACCUCACAGAGCAGAGCCCCACCCCUUCCUAAUCCCGGCCACUCCCUGCCCGCCCCACUCACCGGCUCCCCUCCGGUCCUCUCUGACGCUCAGCUUCGGGGGUGCCGGAGGUGAGCCCUCUCCCUCCGCCCGGCUGCAUUCAGGGUCCCCGUCACUCGGGGAAAAACCAAAGGUCUGUGUUGAAAAUGACACGUCCGCUGAGCAAAAUUCAAGUCGUGAGCCCUGGCUCCCACCUGCCUCCUCAGCGCAGCUCGGUGCCCCCGCCGGGGCCCGUGGUUCCUGCCCUGUUCCGCGCUCCUCCCCGAGCAGAGGGUCCCUGUCGCCUGGGAAGGUGGUGGCUCUGAGGGCAGGACGUGGGUCCCGUGCCGCAGCCGGCUCCGGGAAAGAGCAUCUGUAGGGGAACAGCAGGGACCCCCACCGCCCAGCACGGACUGACGAUGCUCAGCCCCUGCCUCACCGCUUCCCACCGCCCCGCGGGGCAGGUGCCUGCGACCCGAGGUACAGAUGGCGACCGGGCAGACAGUGGUGGCGAGGGCAGGUGCGGUGGCCCCUCGGCACCACUGUCUGCCGAGGACCUCGGUACGUCCAGUGCCGACACACCCUCCCUCUCCUGCCCCGACUGGACCACUCGCCCCCGGGUCCCUCCUGUAGCCCCACGAACCCCCGCCCGGCGGCUGAGUCCCUCGGAUGAUCUCCGUCCCGGUCCUUCUGCCCAGACACUGAAUGAGACGACUUUCCCACCUUCCGGGGGCCUGGCCCGUGACUCGCAGGCCUCCUGGCUAAACGGUUUCCUGAGGGGAAAACAGGACCACGGGGCCUUGCUGAGAACUCCCUGCCAUCGGUCAGGACGCCACCAAGGCUGAGUUCUCUGAGAUGCAAACCCUUCAGCACCGGCCUCUCCCAUCUUUCCAGGAUUCCGGGGCCUUAGGGGCCCUCGGAGUUACAACCUUCGCGCAGGACCAGGUGGUAACCAGUCUAGGCUCCGAGAGAGCCGGGUGGGGUGUGUCGUGAGCGGUCACCUCUGCCACAGACAGCUGGGGGAUGAGCGGGUGUGGCUGUGUUCCCAUCAAACAUCCCUUGAGAAAACAGGCCGAGGACUGGGUGUGGCCGGGAGGCCGUGUUGCUGACCCCUGGCUUCGAGAAAGGCAGAAGGGAAGACGUUCACCGGCUACGUUUCUUUUCCUCCUGAGUUCAGGACACCGUCACGGCCCCUGGGGGCUCAGGAACUGCUCAUUCAGAAGCGUCUGUGACCUCCCACGCCAGCUGGUUCCCCUGUAGUCGGGGCUCUCCCCCACCGCCCCCCAACAGGAGGUGCAAACCCAUUUCCUGCUGGAUCCACACAGGGUGGGGUGUCCCCAAAUCGUAGCAACUCGCCUAUGUUUCUGUUCCUUGAGUUUCCAACUAGGACGAUUAAAAAAAACCCAAGAACUAUUUUCAAGGCCCUUGCAGACGGCCAUUGGCAGGGUGCCAGCCGCGGCUGGCGCUGCGACGGCAGGGUCCUCUCUGAACCAGCCGGAUGGUGCCUUCUACCCGGGAGAGCAAAUUCCAAGGGACUUCUGGGGUUAAAGCUCCAAGCCUCCGAUGCAAGAAUGCUGCCUCCCCAGGCCAACUGGAGUGCCUCCAAGCAGAGCCACCAGGAUGGAGAAGCCGUCCCCAGCCUGGGGACGCCUACACCUGUCGCAGCCCAGAGAAGCCAGGAGGCAGCGGCCGGGCUCAUCCCCGCCCAACACAGGGGGGCGCCACCCCGCCAGGGAUGCUCUCCCCGG